rnacentral:rRNA from 2 species
UCCUGCGGAAGGAUCAUUA